AGUGAACGCUGGCGGUAGGCCUAGCACAUGCAAGUCGAACGGCAGCACAGUAAGAGCUUGCUCUUACGGGUGGCGAGUGGCGGACGGGUGAGGAAUACAUCGGAAUCUACUUUUUCGUGGGGGAUAACGUAGGGAAACUUACGCUAAUACCGCAUACGACCUACGGGUGAAAGCAGGGGAUCUUCGGACCUUGCGCGAUUGAAUGAGCCGAUGUCGGAUUAGCUAGUUGGCGGGGUAAAGGCCCACCAAGGCGACGAUCCGUAGCUGGUCCGAGAGGAUGAUCAGCCACACUGGAACUGAGACACGGUCCAGACUCCUACGGGAGGCAGCAGUGGGGAAUAUUGGACAAUGGGCGCAAGCCUGAUCCAGCCAUACCGCGUGGGUGAAGAAGGCCUUCGGGUUGUAAAGCCCUUUUGUUGGGAAAGAAAAGCAGCAGGUUAAUACCCCGCUGUUCUGACGGUACCCAAAGAAUAAGCACCGGCUAACUUCGUG
rnacentral:rRNA from 1 species